UACGGAGGGUGCGAGCGUUGUCCGGAAUCACUGGGCAUAAAGGGCGCGUAGGCGGCUUCAUAAGUCAGGGGUGAAAUCCGGCAGCUUAACUGUCGCAGUGCCUUUGAUACUGUGGAGCUCGAGGGAGGUAGGGGUCUGUGGAACUUCCGGUGGAGCGGUGAAAUGCGUUGAUAUCGGAAGGAACGCCGGUGGCGAAAGCGACGGACUGGAUCUCUUCUGACGCUGAGGCGCGGAAGCCAGGGGAGCAAACGGG
rnacentral:rRNA from 1 species